AUUGAACGCUGGCGGCAUGCUUUACACAUGCAAGUCGAACGGUAACAGGUUGAGCUGACGAGUGGCGAACGGGUGAGUAAUGCAUCGGAACGUGCCCGGUCGUGGGGGGAUAACGCAGCGAAAGCUGCGCUAAUACCGCAUAUUCUGUGAGCAGGAAAGCAGGGGAUCUUCGGACCUUGUGCUUUAGGAGCGGCCGAUGUCGGAUUAGCUAGUUGGUGAGGUAAAGGCUCACCAAGGCGACGAUCCGUAGCGGGUCUGAGAGGAUGAUCCGCCACACUGGGACUGAGACACGGCCCAGACUCCUACGGGAGGCAGCAGUGGGGAAUUUUGGACAAUGGGCGCAAGCCUGAUCCAGCCAUGCCGCGUGAGUGAAGAAGGCCUUCGGGUUGUAAGCUCUUUCGGUGGGGAAGGAAAGUUAGCUUCGGCUAAUAUCCGGAGUAGAUGACGGUACCCGCACUAAGAAGCACCGGCUAACUACGUGCCAGCACG
rnacentral:rRNA from 1 species